UACGUAGGCAGCGAGCGUUGUUCGGAGUUACUGGGCGUAAAGAGUAUGUAGGCGGUUGCGUAAGUUUGGUGUGAAAUCUCCCGGCUUAACUGGGAGGGUGCGCCGAAAACUGCGGAGCUAGAGUGUGGGAGAGGAAAGCGGAAUUCCUGGUGUAGCGGUGAAAUGCGUAGAUAUCAGGAGGAACACCGGUGGUGUAGACGGCUUUCUGGACCAUUACUGACGCUGAGAUACGAAAGCGUGGGUAGCAAACAGG
rnacentral:rRNA from 1 species